rnacentral:rRNA from 1 species
AAUAGAUACCCUGGUAGUCCUAGCAGUAAACGGUGCACGUUUGGUGUGGGCAGGUUCAGACCCUGUCCGUGCCGGAGCUAACGCGUUAAACGUGCCGCCUGGGAAGUACGGUCGCAAGAUUAAAACUCAAAGAAAUUGACGGGGGCCCGCACAAGCGGUGGAGUAUGUGGCUUAAUUCGAUGCAACGCGAAGAACCUUACCUGGUCUUGACAUGCAUUGUGUCCCCGGUGAAAGCCGGGUAGUUGGUAGCAAUACCAACACUUUGCACAGGUGCUGCAUGGCUGUCGUCAGCUCGUGUCGUGAGAUGUUGGGUUAAGUCCCGCAACGAGCGCAACCCUGUGUCCAGUUGCCCGCAAGGGAUCUCUGGACAGACUGCCCUGUGAAACGGGGAGGAAGGUGGGGAUGACGUCAAGUCAGUAUGGCCCUUACGGGCCAGGGCCGCACACGUACUACAAUGCCCAGUACAGAAUGAACCGAAUCCGCAAGGUGGAGGAAAUCCUCAAAAACUGGGCCAGUUCGGAUUGGAGGCUGCAACUCGCCUCC